GGAGAGGUGGCCGAGUGGCUGAAGGCGCUGGUUUGCUAAACCGGUAUACGCCUUAAAAGCGUAUCGGGGGUUCGAAUCCCCCCCUCUCCGCCA
rnacentral:tRNA from 1 species